rnacentral:rRNA from 1 species
UACGAAGGGGGCUAGCGUUGCUCGGAAUCACUGGGCGUAAAGGGUGCGUAGGCGGGUCUUUUAAGUCAGGGGUGAAAUCCUGGAGCUCAACUCCAGAACUGCCUUUGAUACUGCGGGUCUCGAGUCCGGGAGAGGUGAGUGGAAUUCCUAGUGUAGAGGUGAAAUUCGUAGAUAUUAGGAAGAACACCAGUGGCGAAGGCGGCUCACUGGCCCGGUACUGACGCUGAGGCGGCGAAAGCGUGGGGAGCAAACAGG